GGAACUCACUGAUGUGUGUGAGUGUUCUUUAGAAUGCUGAUGGAACUCACUGAUGUGUGUGAACUCACUGUGUUCUUUAGAAUGCUGAUGGAACUCACUGAUGUGUGUGAGCGUUCUUUAGAAUGCUGAUGGAACUCACUGAUGAGUGUGAGUGUUCUUUAGAAUGCUGAUGGAACUCACUGAUGUGUGUGAGUGUUCUUUAGAAUGCUGAUGGAACUCACUGAUGUGUGUGAGUGUUCUUUAGAAUGCUGAUGGAACUCACUGAUGAGUGUGAGUGUUCUUUAGAAUGCUGAUGGAACUCACUGAUGUGUGUGAGCGUUCUUUAGAAUGCUGAUGGAACUCACUGAUGAGUGUGAGUGUUCUUUAGAAUGCUGAUGGAACUCACUGAUGUGUGUGAGUGUUCUUUAGAAUGCUGAUGGAACUCACUGAUGAGUGUGAGUGUUCUUUAGAAUGCUGAUGGAACUCACUGAUGAGUGUUCUGGUUGACUGUAAUAAUGUAUUUGUGUUGUAGUAAUGUAGUGUUUCUGUAACUGCUGCUUUUUGCUGUUUUAUUAAAUGAUCAUAUUGAAUAGUUUGUUCUCAGGGCACCACUGAGACGCUGAUUUAAAUUGGGCUUCCCUGAACACAUACAAGUUUAAUAAAAAACACACACCUAGGAGCCCGACCAAACCCUGACACUCUUAGUCCAACCAUCCGUCCUUCUCUCCAUCUCCUCUCCUCAUCCCUCCUCUUCUCUCCAUCUCUCCGUCUCUCCUCCCCUGAGAGAAGGGGUAGGAGAGGAGAUGGAGAGAAGAGAAUCCUUACCCUAACCCUCAUACUAACACUAACUUUUCAACCCUAAUUCUGACUUGUAAUUGUAACCAUAAAACUUCAAAUAGCCUUUUUCCUUGUGGGGACCGGCAAAAUCUUCCCACUUGUCUGAAUGUUCCUUGUUUUCCUUAUGGUACCCCCAAUGAGAGUAAAAAAAACACACACACACACUCUCUCUUCUCCUCCUCUCUCUCUCUUUCUCUUCUCUUUCUUUCUCCCUCUUUCUCUUCUCUUUCUUUCUCCCUCUUUCUCUUCUCUUUCUUUCUCCCUCUUUCUCUUCUCCUUCUUUCUCUUCUCUUUCUUUCUCUUUCUCUUUCUCUUUCUCUCUCUUUCUCUUUCUCUUUCUCUUUCUCUUCUCUUCUCCCGCCCCUAUGGAAUCCAUGGACUAGUCAAGCUCUGUAGCAAACUUCUACUACUGGGCUGAAGGAGGAGGGGGCAAUGGAGGAAGGAAGAACAGAGGAGGGAGAGGGAGGUAGAGAAGAGGGAGAGGGAGAGAGAUGGAGAGAAGAGGGAGGAGAGAAUCAGAAGUAUCAUUCUCUGAAUGUAAAUAGAAGCUGAAGAUUGUUAUUUAUCUGAUCAUUAUUUGAUCAUUUCAAUUGAUCCUUUUUCAAAGUGAUUAGUUUAAUGUAACUUGGUUUUGUAGCUCCCACUGCUCUCUUCAGUUAGACUGCUGUUCCUGUGUGUCCUCAUAUCUAUGAUAAUCAUCAUCACAACCUGGAUGGUUUCACUCUUUCUGUAUUGGCUUGUAGUCCAGACGCUUGUGUUUAGAUCCUAGAAAUUCUUUCAACUUAUGUUUCUGUAUGUUAGAUAAACAGCAGCUAUAGAUUAUUGAUAAGAAAUGUCAUCUGUAGAACAAUUUAUUAGUUAACAUUGAUAAGAAAUGUCAUCUGUAGAACAAUUUAUUAGUUAACAUUGAUAAGAAAUGUCAUCUGUAGAACAAUUUAUUAGUUAACAUUGAUAAGAAAUGUCAUCUGUAACAAUUCAUUAGUUAACAUUGAUAAGAAAUGUCAUAUCUGUAAAACAAAAAGGGCAAACCAAAGUUCAGUCAACGUUAAAAGAACAUGACAUCAUCAUUACAUCAUCGCCAGGAGUAGAAGCUCAACGCAUCACGUCUUUUGAAAAGUGGGCAGGGCAAAGAGGAACAGGAGAGAAACCUGUUUGGCCCAGAGCACAGAGGCCAGUUUGGGGUGUUGUUCCAGGUAUAGCAGUGUCCCUGGGCAUCUCAGAAGAUUGAUAUGUCAUAUUAAUGUGGUUGAACACUUUUAAUGGCAUUGUGAACAGAGAGACUGCAAUAUAGACAAACUGGAAUGAACCCAAUACGCUCUACAGACUCCUCUCUGGUCUUGUCCAGCCUCUGCUCUAUGCUAGUCGGUACUAGGAAAGUUAGACAUUUCCGACUUGCUAAUUUGUUGAAUAUGGCAAGUACAACAAUUAGCAUGCAAGAGAUUUUGGAGUUUCCUAGUUCCGACUAAGAAGUUAAUGUGUCAGGCUGUCAGGCUGUCUGGGUCAAUUCAGUUUGGAAGUAAUGAGGUGAAAAAUCCUCUUAGAAAUCAAUUGGAAAUGAACCUGUCUGUCUGUCUGUCUGUCUGUCUGUCACAGCCUUCUUUUACAACUAUAAACACAGAGAAAAACAACAAAAACUACAAAAGGGAAAUCUUUAAAUAUGAAUAUUUUACAAUAACCAAUAAGUAUAUGACUAAUAUUAAUAAUAAUAUCAACAUUAAUACUGAAGUCUCACAUAGGUACUGGGGGAGGAAGGGAGGGAUGAACACAGAGGGGAGGGUUAAACAACUGAUAUUGUACCUGCUUGUUGUGUAUCUUAUUAAUUAACCCCACAGCUAAUAAUAAACUGGGACUAUGCAUAACCAA
ensembl:lncRNA